rnacentral:tRNA from 1 species
GGCUGGGUAGCUCAGUGGUAGAGCAGGGGAAUCAUAAUCCCUUGGUCGGGGGUUCAAAUCCCUCCCUAGCCACCA